UACGUAGGGGGCAAGCGUUCUCCGGAUUUAUUGGGCGUAAAGUGCAUGCAGGCGGUUUGCCAAGUCCGAAGUGACAGUCAUUGGCUUAACCAAUGAAGGUCUUUGGAAACUAGCAGACUUGAGAGCAAUAGAGGGACACGGAAUUCCAGGUGGAGUGGUGAAAUGCGUAGAUAUCUGGAGGAACACCAAAGGCGAAGGCAGUGUCCUGGAUUGUUUCUGACGCUCAGAUGCGAAAGCCAGGGGAGCGAACGGG
rnacentral:rRNA from 1 species